rnacentral:rRNA from 1 species
GGCCAUUGGCGGCGGGCUAUACAUGCAGUAGAACGCUGAAGAGAGGAGCUUGCUCUUCUUGGAUGAGUUGCGAACGGGUGAGUAACGCGUAGGUAACCUGCCUUGUAGCGGGGGAUAACUAUUGGAAACGAUAGCUAAUACCGCAUAACAAUGGAUGACACAUGUCAUUUAUUUGAAAGGGGCAAUUGCUCCACUACAAGAUGGACCUGCGUUGUAUUAGCUAGUAGGUGAGGUAAUGGCUCACCUAGGCGACGAUACAUAGCCGACCUGAGAGGGUGAUCGGCCACACUGGGACUGAGACACGGCCCAGACUCCUACGGGAGGCAGCAGUAGGGAAUCUUCGGCAAUGGGGGCAACCCUGACCGAGCAACGCCGCGUGAGUGAAGAAGGUUUUCGGAUCGUAAAGCUCUGUUGUAAGUCAAGAACGGGUGUGAGAGUGGAAAGUUCACACUGUGACGGUAGCUUACCAGAAAGGGACGGCUAACUACGUGCCAGCAGCCGCGGUAAUACGUAGGUCCCGAGCGUUGUCCGGAUUUAUUGGGCGUAAAGCGAGCGCAGGCGGUUUGAUAAGUCUGAAGUUAAAGGCUGUGGCUCAACCAUAGUUCGCUUUGGAAACUGUCAAACUUGAGUGCAGAAGGGGAGAGUGGAAUUCCAUGUGUAGCGGUGAAAUGCGUAGAUAUAUGGAGGAACACCGGUGGCGAAAGCGGCUCUCUGGUCUGUAACUGACGCUGAGGCUCGAAAGCGUGGGGAGCGAACAGGAUUAGAUACCCUGGUAGUCCACGCCGUAAACGAUGAGUGCUAGGUGUUGGAUCCUUUCCGGGAUUCAGUGCCGCAGCUAACGCAUUAAGCACUCCGCCUGGGGAGUACGACCGCAAGGUUGAAACUCAAAGGAAUUGACGGGGGCCCGCACAAGCGGUGGAGCAUGUGGUUUAAUUCGAAGCAACGCGAAGAACCUUACCAGGUCUUGACAUCCCGAUGCUAUUUCUAGAGAUAGAAAGUUACUUCGGUACAUCGGUGACAGGUGGUGCAUGGUUGUCGUCAGCUCGUGUCGUGAGAUGUUGGGUUAAGUCCCGCAACGAGCGCAACCCCUAUUGUUAGUUGCCAUCAUUCAGUUGGGCACUCUAGCGAGACUGCCGGUAAUAAACCGGAGGAAGGUGGGGAUGACGUCAAAUCAUCAUGCCCCUUAUGACCUGGGCUACACACGUGCUACAAUGGUUGGUACAACGAGUUGCGAGUCGGUGACGGCGAGCUAAUCUCUUAAAGCCAAUCUCAGUUCGGAUUGUAGGCUGCAACUCGCCUACAUGAAGUCGGAAUCGCUAGUAAUCGCGGAUCAGCACGCCGCGGUGAAUACGUUCCCGGGCCUUGUACACACCGCCCGUCACACCACGAGAGUUUGUAACACCCGAAGUCGGUGAGGUAACCUUUGAGCCAGCCCGCCUAAGGUGAACCAAGU